UACCCGGAGGUCAUCCUGUUGAUUACUUCCUUGUGAUGGUACUGAUAACAAUUGCUUCCACCUAAUGAUAAAUGCAUCAGGGAAAUGGCUUUGGCUUGGCUUUUUAUUUUAUUUUUGGAAUACAGGACUCUAAACCUUAUACUAGGCUUAUAUUAAAAUGUGCAGUUCAAUGCACAUUUUCCGGGUUUUGAUUGAACGCCACACGAAAGGAGCAGUUUGUUUUCGUCACAUGACAGGAAGUAAGUGUUGGACGUUCAUCGGUACAUGGGAAGUGUGUCAAUACGACACAACUCUGAAGUCUGGAAAUACAACAAACACCACUUAUUUUCGAGGAUUAAAUGUGUUUCCAGAGAAAAAGGGUCGGUGUUGUCUCUGAGUCAGAUUAACGCAGCUGCUGGUUUCUGGCUGCUAUUUGUCCACCGGGGCGAGCUAGUUUUAGCAAAGUGGCUAGCUAAGUAGAUCACAACCUUGCCCUGUCCGUCAACAAGCAGCAGUUUAGCUCUGUAUGCUCCUGACAGCUUUUAAACAAACCAGUUGUUAUUUUCCCUGUAGCUUAAUGUAGUGUCACUGCCUGCAGCCCAUGGUGUGCAGUUCACGAAGUUUAACGACAGACUGGAGUCCUGUUCUCAGUGCUUUUGAAGAGCCAUGAGCACCUACUGACAGCGGGGUUAGGCUGACAUGGACUGAAGCUGGGCGGAUGAACACCUGUCGUCUCUGGCGACAUUGAACUUCAGAGAAGCCUGCAGGAUGUUGGAAGGCCUGGUGGCCUGGGUGCUGAACACAUACCUGGGGAAAUAUGUCAGCAACCUGAACACAGACCAGCUCUCCAUCGCCCUUCUCAAAGGGGCCGUGGAGCUGGAGAACCUCCCUCUGAGGAAAGAU